AUACGUAGGGAGCGAGCGUUGUCCGGAAUUACUGGGCGUAAAGGGCGCGUAGGCGGCGCUUCAAGUCGUCUGUCAAAUGGGAGGGCUUAACCCUUUUUCGCAGACGAAACUGGAGAGCUUGAGAAGCAGAGAGGCAAACAGAAUUCCUGGUGUAGCGGUGAAAUGCGUAGAUAUCAGGAAGAAUACCAGUGGCGAAGGCGGUUUGCGGGCUGCAUACUGACGCUGAAGCGCGAAAGCCAGGGGAGCAAACGGGAUUAGAUACCCCGGUAGUCCUGGCAGUAAACGAUGUAUGCUGGGUGUGAGACUAGCGAUAGUUUCGUGCCGAAGUUAACGCGAUAAGCAUACCGCCUGGGGAGUACGGUCGCAAGAUUGAAACUCAAAUGAAUUGACGGGG
rnacentral:rRNA from 1 species